rnacentral:lncRNA from 1 species
UCCGGUGCGUGGCUUAUUCGCACGGCAUAUAUGGUCAUGCGGCUAAGCUCUGAAGAAAGAAAUAAAGAGGGAAAAAAAACAAGAGGGGAAAGCAGAAACAAGCGGCGCCUUGGAUGCCCGAAGGAGUUCGUGUUUAUGCGAAUAAGUGUGCGUGCAAACGGUGGGCGGGGUGUGGAGCGGAGCGACACGGCGAGCCGGGCACUUUCUUCGGUGUGACCGCGGCGAGCCGUGUAUUGUACGUAUAGCCGCGUGCGCUCGGCGCAGUGCGCGCGUCAUAGGCGUACGCGCGCCUGGCAAGCAACAACAACAACCACAGUAAUAAUAAUAAUAAAAUAAGGAGAAACAACUUUCGCGUGUCUCUUCGCCGCUGCGGCCACGCGUUAUACAAACCGUGCCGUUUUUCCUGUGGACGCGCUGUCACGCGUGGCAUCUGCACGACCUGUGUGCCCUUGUUUCGAGCGGUGUGCAGGUAAACCGUGCCCUGGCUUUCCUCUUUCGCGAUACGCCUCUUAUACCUGCCUACGUGUCUGCGUUUGAGCUGGAUCCGCGAUAAGCGUGGUGUAAGCAGCAGGGAUGCGUAGACAUUGUUUUUGUAGCGCGAGAAUUCUGAGAAAGACAGGAAACACCAGCGAAAUGCAUGAACAGAAAGAAUGGCUCACAGCCGCUACGGCGAUGCCAUGCGACGACGCUACGAGACAGGUCCUGUAGCGCCUUCCUUUUCUUUUUGCCCAUUCCUUUCUCUGGUGCUUCCUUUCUUUUCAAAAUUUAUUUUGUGCGUCAAAAAAUGAUGUCGUGUAGCAAACACCAGUGCGUCCCAGAAGAAGUUAAUUCUGCAGGCAUGCGUAAGGGGAAAGCCGUGCCUUGCCUUCCCUAAGCUCGCGAUGUGUUAAGUGCGAACGAUAUUGGUCGAGUGGAGCAGUUUCGACGAGGUCCUCUUGCGUUUGCAUGCUUCCAUAUGUUAACGAUACGAAGCAAGUGGAGCCUAUAACGCGAACACUCUUUCCCGUACGACUGGAGCCUUAAAUUUGCUUUCUCGGAUCCGCUUGUGGUCGGAACCGCUUGUGCGCUGAGAUUUAGCUGCAGGUUUAACGCCUCCAGACGGUUGGAGUUGAUCCGCGGCCCUCUGCUACGUCGUUUUUCAAACCCACGACGCAGCUUUGUGACGUUAAACCCCAGCAAUUAUGAGCAGUCCCUGCGCAAGUGAGGUAUACCAAACCCAUUCCGUUCGCGUCGCUGUAGCCAAGGAGCUAGAUCAAAAACAAGGGAUCGGCGCACGUUGGCGCAAUCACUGUCACACGGUGAAGUAAUAGGAAUCAAUACGCGCGGUUUGGAUAUAGUUGAUGUGCGACUUAAGCAAUGUGUUGGCUUAUUAGCAUGAUGUAGGUCUACUAGCUUAAAGGGUAGACCAAAACUACCAGCCAGUUUUCACGAAGAUCUUCUACUUGUUGUUUGUAGUAAUGAAACUCUGUGAUCAUUUGCGGGCUAAGAAAAGCAGUUCGUUUCUGAACAGUCUGAACUACAGCUUCACCUCCAUUUUUCUGCUUGUGCUCAUUAGUAUCGCAUCUGCAGUUCAAUGUGACAUGGGCUGUUGAGUGCUAAGUGUGCAGCAUUGCGCGUAUUCGGUUCGCUGAGGUCCUGAUUAUGCAAUUGCUAGAUGAAAACAUCGGAAAUUGAAGGUCCGGGUUCGCUGCCUGCUACUGUGCAUAUAUAGCGGUUCUUACUGGUGCCGUUGUAACACUCUCCGUUACAUGCUUGCAUGAACGGCUCCAAUGUACAGGUAAACAUGCAAAACGUAGGCAGCUGAAUUGCAGAAGGGAGCUUCUAUCGGCUUCUUAUUGUGGAGAAGCCACCGUUCGGAUAGUGCUCUUUCGAUGGCGUUUGGAUGUGCAGACUCCUUCGAAAGCAACCGCAUCACGUCCUGAUUGUGAAAUCGUGCAUGCACUAAUCUUCGAUUUUGAGGUUUACGGUUUCGAUGCCUGCUGGCGCACAUUUAUUUAUAGCGCUUUCGCCGGUGUGACGCUCUCCGUUACCCGCUUGCGUAA